rnacentral:lncRNA from 1 species
CGCUGAGCCACUUCUUCCUAACAGCGCAUGUGGGACCCGAGGAAAAUGUCCUUGCACGUUUGGAGGCGAAAGAGAGAAGUAUUCUACUGGAAGUCCGGUGCUUCUCGUGAGGCACAGUCAUUGAGGCAGAAGGGACAAGUACUCAUUUAUGUCCCCAUGCAAAGUUAGUGAGGAGGAACAACCUCCCUUUUCCCCACUUAGAAUCGUGCAGAAGGAUCUGGAGACGUCCUAGAGAGGUUUGGGGGCAUCCAGGGGGUUCUGGACUCAUGCAGAAGAGUCUGGAGAUGUCCAAGGAGGAUCCAGGGAGUUCCCACGCCUGCCUGCAGCCGGACCCGGUGACACCGGAGCCCUCUGGCGCUGUCACCAUCCUCUGUCCCGAGGACGGGAGGUGAACUGUGUGCCACCAGCAGAGGGGACCACGGGUGACAUCAGUGUGGAACAGCCGUGACGCGGCGGCGUUGUCAUUGGGUGUCACCGUCACGCAGAGGGGACAAAAGGACCCCCCUGGGGGCAUUGCGUCGAAGUUGGGGACACCGUGAGCAGCUUGAGGACUUCCCAGGGGAAGUGGGGGCACCGCGUCACCGUGUCACACCCCAAAGGUGGGGACGCCCCCACAGUGUCACACCCCAAAGUUGGGGGCACCCCUGUAGUUUCACACCCCGAAGUUGGAAAAACCCCCACAGUGUCACACCCCAAAGUUGGGGACACCUCUGUGUCACCCCAAUGGUGUCCGACCCAAAGCUGGGGACACUCCACAGUGUCACACCCCAAAGUUGGGGACGCCCCGACAGUGUCACAUCUCAAAUUUGGGACAGCUCUGUGUCCCCCCAAUGGUGUCAGACCCCAAAGUUGGGGACGCCCCCACAGUGUCACAGCCCAAAGUUGGGGUCUGUCCCAGAGGUGGGAGUGCCCCCACAUCCCCACCAUGGCGUCACAUCCCAAAGUUGGGGACCCCCAUCUGGGGACCCAUUCUGUGCUCCCCCAAUUGCAGACAGCACUGUUCCCAUGGGGUGGGGGCGGGGGGCACCCUUUAUUUUUGGGAUUAAGGUUUAUUUCAUGAUAACGGGGGGUUGGGGAAUGCCCCCCCAUGUGAAUAAAGGGCGGAGGAGCGGCUGUGGGGCUCCGUGUGUAACACCGGGGGGUGCUUUGGGGACACUGCAGCAUCCCAGCCCCAUAGCCCCCAUGGCCCUAUAACCACUACAGCCCCAUCUCGUAGCCAUCCCAUAUCCAUAUCCCAUCCCAUAUCCCAUCCUGUAUCCAUAACCCUUCCAAUAUCCAAACCACCAUAUCCGUCCCACACCCAUAGCCCAAAUCCAUCCCAUAUCCGUAUCCCAAAUCCAUCCCGUAUCCAUACCCCAUCCCAUAUCCGUAUCCCAUCCCAUAUCUCAUCCCCUAUCCAUAUCCCAUCCCAACUCCAUGCCAAAUCUCUUUCUAUAUCCACAUCACCUUAUCCAUCCCAUAACCAUCCCAAAUCCAUCUCAAAUCCAUAUCUCAUCCCAGACCGAUCCCAUCUCCUUAUCCAUCCCGUAUCAAUGUCCCAUCCCUUAUCCAAUCCCAUACCCCAUCCUACAGCCAUCCCACAUCCAUACCCGCACAUCCCAUAUCCUAUCCCCAUCCUGUACCCCAUGUCCCAUAUCCAUUUCCAUCCCACAGCCUUCCCGAAUCCAUAUCCCCGCAUCCAUCCCGUGUCCACCCCAUAUCCAUUCCGUAUACUUAUCCCAUCCUAUGAUCAUCCCAAUCCCAUCCCAUAUCCAUAUCCCAUCCCAACUCCACCCCAUAUCGUUCCCAUACCUUUGCCAAGUCUGUCCCGUACCCGUAUACCCACUUCCCGCAUCCCAUUCCCAAUCCCAACCCCAAUCCCAAUCCCAAUCCCACACCUCAUUCCCAAUCCCACAUGCGAAUCCCGUAUCCCGCAUCCCAAUCCCUAUCCCGAAUCCCAAUGCCAAUCCCACAUCCCAGCCCCAUGUACUGUGUGUCAAUCUAUCGCAAUCCCAACUCUCAUAUCGCAGUCCUAACCCCAAUCCCACACCCCAAUCCCAAUCCCAAUGCCAUCCCCUAUUGCAAUAGGGCACACUCCGGGCCCCUCCCGCAGCUCCGUCCCGCCCCCAUCUUCUCAUUGGCUGAGGUGCAGCUCCGUCCCGCCCCCGGCCUCUCAUUGGUCAGGUGCAGCUCCGUCCCGGCCCCGGCCUCUCAUUGGCUGAGCCGCAGUUCCAUCCUGCCUCCAGCCUCUCAUUGGUCAGGUUCAGCUCCGUCCCGCCGCCGGCCUCUCAUUGGCUGAGGCGCAGCCCAGUCCCGCCCCCAUCCUCUCAUUGCUCAGCGGCAGCGCCGCCGGCUCCCAUUGGCUGAGGCGCAGCGCGCGGGAGCGGCCGUUGGCAGCCGGCUCGGGCCCGCCCGGCUCUCCCCUCAGCCGGCGUCGCUCCGCAGCCCGGGCCGCCCCGCACGGCACCGCCGACGGAACAGCACCGGGACGGAACCGCGGCACGACGGGAGCGGUGGGGCGUGUGGUGUUGUGGGGAAGCGGCGCAGAUGGAAAGCUGCCGUGUGGAGCCCCACAGGACGAGUUGCAGAGGCCCCUGAAGGAAAAGGAGAAGGAAGGGCAUUUGCAGAGGGACAGGCUGUCCCGCUGGCCUUAGGUGUUGCUGAACGGGAGGGGUGGCCAAUGCUUUCUCUUUCCACUGCCUCACGGAUGGUGGCAAAUGCCUUCUGGGGGUGGUUCCAGCAGUGGGAAGAAAACAGCUGGCAGCGGAGGGGUAAACCUCUUUGGGCUGCUGAGCUGUGUGCUGAACCAUAAGGAAGGUGGCUGUAAAGGUGUGCCGUGCAGAUGUCGUGUGCCCAGCAGUCGGGCCGAUGAAGAGCAACAAAUGAAGCGCCAGGUGCUCGGGAGCGCCGCCCUGUUCCAAUACGGUUUGGAUCAAC